AUAUCAUUGACUGACUUAAAUUCAACAGAACUGUGCUUUGGAGGACAUCGUUGCGCUGCUGACUUCUAACACUGAGAGAGAAGGGAGAUUGUGAAAGGUACAAGAGGCAGGGGAGCAGCCCACUGAGCUACCCCAGGAAUUUCCCUGACAAUCAGUUUUAAGGAGGACAUGCAGAAGUUGAAGAUGUGGAACACACAUCCCAUCUAAGGGGUGACAUCCUUCAGUUUGUGGACAGCUGGUCUAAUUCACUGGAGGAGGAACACAGCUCCCCUGGGGCCAUGCUCUGGCCACAGAACAGUGUGCAAGAGGUCAUUUAUGUUCAGGUGAUCCUGCCUUAUCCUGGAGAAAGAAAUGUUAUGCAAGAGGCCAAGAAGAAGCUAAACAAACAAGCCAUGAUGGAUUCCCAUCUCAGCUUAUUACCAUUGGGACAUGUCCUUUUUGUCCAAUCACAUUUCUACAUGGCAGUACAGUCUUCAUCAAACCUAAGCAUUAAAAAAAAAGUUUUCUCUGGGUCUUUGGGUCUUUUGUUUCGGAAGGCUCCUGUAUUACAUAAAACUUUGUUAAAUAAAUUUGUUAUACUUU